AGCAGCCGCGGUAAUUCCAGCUCCAAUAGCGUAUAUUAAAGUUGUUGCAGUUAAAAAGCUCGUAGUUGAAUUUCGGGGUCAAUAAGUUGGUCGUGCCAAUGGUAUGUACUGGCUUUAUUGAUUCCUACCUCUUGACGAACUGUGAUGCCAUUAAUUUGGUGUUGCAGGAAAUCAGGACUGUUACCUUGAAAAAAUUAGAGUGUUUAAAGCAGGCUUACGCUUGAAUACAUUAGCAUGGAAUAAUGAAAUAGGACGUUUGAACCUAUUUUGUUGGUUUCUAGGAUCGACGUAAUGAUUAAUAGGGAUAGUUGGGGGCAUUAGUAUUCAAUUGUCAGAGGUGAAAUUCUUGGAUUUAUUGAAGACUAACUACUGCGAAAGCAUUUGCCAAGGAUGUUUUCAUUAAUCAAGAACGAAAGUUAGGGGAUCGAAGACGAUCAGAUACCGUCGUAGUCUUAACCAUAAACUAUGCCGACUAGGGAUCGGAUGAUGUUAAUUUUUAAUGUACUCAUUCGGCGCCUUA
rnacentral:rRNA from 1 species